UACGUAGGGUGCGAGCGUUAAUCGGAAUUACUGGGCGUAAAGCGUGCGCAGGCGGUGAUGUAAGACCGAUGUGAAAUCCCCGGGCUUAACCUGGGAACUGCAUUGGUGACUGCAUCGCUCGAGUAUGGCAGAGGGGGGGGUAGAAUUCCACGUGUAGCAGUGAAAUGCGUAGAGAUGUGGAGGAAUACCGAUGGCGAAGGCAGCCCCCUGGUCAAUACUGACGCUCAUGCACGAAAGCGUGGGGAGCAAACAGG
rnacentral:rRNA from 1 species